GGCGCAUUGCACACGGAUGAUAUACCUUGACUUGCUCGUCUUCUUAGCACUUUUUUGACGUGGACUCUGCCUACAUUGUUGACUUCAACCAUAAAGAAGUUUUGUCCGAUAUUACUCGUACGCCGGACCAAAGGGUCACAGCCAAUCCAGUGCAACGUUGACGUGUGGGUCCACUACAAAUUGAGUCAAUGGCAGAUGGGACCGAUCUGUUAGUGAAACAUCAAAUCCAUGAGGC
rnacentral:lncRNA from 1 species